UCGAAAAUAAUCCUAUGGGAACAAUGAAGUCGAAAUAAAAGCUAUUCUACGUAUUAAUCCAGGGCUUUUCGUCCACAUCCGUUCAGUGGUUUCUGCGUUUAAGAGUAACAAACACCUAUCCAAAGUUACACACUGUCGCAUUUAUAAUAUUAGUAGUUACUAUCUCCAAGAGCAUCCUAAAGGUACCUGUGCGAUAUGACAGCCUAUCAUAAUUACAAAGAUAACCAGAGCUACAAGUAGGUAGUUUAUAUUUCAGGUGGAUCUGAUAACUCUAUGAUGAUGUCACCUAAAAUAUUGCAAAUUGUCAUGAUAAUAUUGAGAAUCAUUGACCCUUACCCACCGCAUGAACAUGCCAAUUUUGUACAAUCUUAAUAGGUCAAUUUUAUUUUGUUGUUGCGAAAUAUGUCUUAAAGAUAUUACUGUAUAUUAGCAUGAUCUUGAACAUUAUCCAUUCUAUGAUUGAUUCUCAGAAAUAAAUCUAGUUAUUCAUAAAAAUGCAUAAAUGGGUCUCAACCAUGGUUUGAAGUCGUCGUUAUUUGGAAAGAUGUUUUUUUGGGGACUAUCUAGGUACUUCCGGAGAAAUUGUGAUUUCUAAAUUAAUGGAAUUUAAUAUUCUUCAGUUAUAAUGUAUUGCACCAUAACAUUACAGUCUAACAUGCACUGUAUACGUGUAAAUUAAAAACGGUGUGACGAAUAUCUUUAUACAUAUAAUUAUGUGGUUUUUUGAAACGACUUACAAAACGCAAGUCAUAAAAUAUGUUAUCUUAAUCAAACAUUUGUAUCACAAAAGUAAUGAGUGCGCAAACGGCGAUCUUAAGUAAAAAUAAAAAAUCGUUUAGUAGCCUUGACUUUACAAAGUGCGUCUAAAUAUAUAUUCACACUAGUGUGACUCAUCAGUUGGCAUACAGUCAACCGCAUGCGGGGAUAAAUGUUUUGCGUGAACACUGCUUUAACAGCUAAGCAAAAAGGUCAAUUCUCCAUGAUAGAAACAACAAGAGGGGCAAAGCUACUCCGGUAUGACGGCUACACUUUCUGGAGGGCUACUCGCUCCAACUACUCAGAGAUCUGGUACUGCUCCUCGAAAGCUGGUGGAUGCAGGGCAUCCGUGAAGUACGACGGAAUGAACAUGCUUGUCGCGGAACCAAGCCAUAAUCAUGAUAGACCCACCAUGAUAAGGGGAAUGGAUGGGAAAUACAUCAAGCUAAAGUAGUUGAGGGUUUAUGUGAACCUCCUUGCUGGUCUGCUGGUGUUGUUACCUUUGAAAAUUCUCAGGUGUACCUCCUCACGAUGUUGCUACCCCAUUUUUGCAAAUGGCAAUUACUUUUUAAUACGAAUAUGAAAUUGAAAAGACAUUGAUGCGUGCUGGUUUUCAAUCCUACGAUCUUGAUUAGGUCGAACGGUCUUAAUAAAAUUAUGAAAUGAAUAUUGUUGUUGAGCAUCAUUUAGGCUCUUCGUAAACGUGCAUCACAACGAGAGUCAAUUUGUUGGUUCUUGAUGGGACAUCAACUUCAGAUAAAAUGGAAACUUCUUUGCAUUAUAAUUAAUUUAGUGACUUAAUGGUAUUGUAUUUUCUUGUGACUGUAUUUAAUAAGAUGUAAUAUUAUUAUUUGUAGAGAGGGUUAUUAUUAGCACAUAAACAUUGGCAAAGUGAAAACAUUAAAAAAAGACACGGGGUUUUUUUGUGUAUUUUUUAGAUCUUAACGAAUUUGCGAGAAGUAUUAUUUCAUUAUUACAAUCCAGUUCACUGCACAUGGGUAUGUAUGCAAAAUAAAGUUAUAUGUUUAACGAAAACUUGUCAAUACAGUAUUAUUGUCUUAA